AAAGUACGAACCUGGAUUCAAAUUCUCUGAUCUGAACAAGUUCUUUCCCUAAGAAAUCCAUCCAUUGUACUCUUUUCUUCUGAACUUCUUUUGAACCCAAAGAAGAUUUUUUAAGACCACCUUUGUUGCAAUUUUGAGGCUGCAAUUCCUCUCCAUCUACAUUUACACUCUCUUCUUUCACUCCAAUGGAGUCAUUAGACACAUUAUCAUAAGAAGAAGCAGUACCAACUGA